AGUCGAGCGAGCUUGCCUAGAUGAUUUUAGUGCUUGCACUAAAUGAAACUAGAUACAAGCGAGCGGCGGACGGGUGAGUAACACGUGGGUAACCUGCCCAAGAGACUGGGAUAACACCUGGAAACAGAUGCUAAUACCGGAUAACAACACUAGACGCAUGUCUAGAGUUUGAAAGAUGGUUCUGCUAUCACUCUUGGAUGGACCUGCGGUGCAUUAGCUAGUUGGUAAGGUAACGGCUUACCAAGGCAAUGAUGCAUAGCCGAGUUGAGAGACUGAUCGGCCACAUUGGGACUGAGACACGGCCCAAACUCCUACGGGAGGCAGCAGUAGGGAAUCUUCCACAAUGGACGAAAGUCUGAUGGAGCAACGCCGCGUGAGUGAAGAAGGGUUUCGGCUCGUAAAGCUCUGUUGGUAGUGAAGAAAGAUAGAGGUAGUAACUGGCCUUUAUUUGACGGUAAUUACUUAGAAAGUCACGGCUAACUACGUGCCAGCAGCCGCGGUAAUACGUAGGUGGCAAGCGUUGUCCGGAUUUAUUGGGCGUAAAGCGGGUGCAGGCGGUUCAAUAAGUCUGAUGUGAAAGCCUUCGGCUCAACCGGAGAAUUGCAUCAGAAACUGUUGAACUUGAGUGCAGAAGAGGAGAGUGGAACUCCAUGUGUAGCGGUGGAAUGCGUAGAUAUAUGGAAGAACACCAGUGGCGAAGGCGGCUCUCUGGUCUGCAACUGACGCUGAGGCUCGAAAGCAUGGGUAGCGAACAGGAUUAGAUACCCUGGUAGUCCAUGCCGUAAACG
rnacentral:rRNA from 1 species